GAAGGCGCCAUCUUGGGAAGGGUGGAGUGAACUAACAUGAUUAUCUUCCUAGUGAAAAGAAAGAAACUUUAGUAGGCCUGGAAAGAUCUAAACACCCUUUGAAGACCUGCCGUUCGCCAGGCACUGCUUGGUGCAUCUCACAGCUGGAGAAGGAAAUGGCAACCCACUCCAAUAUUCUUGUCUGGAGAAUUCCAGAAACAGAGGAACUUGACAAGCUGCAGUCCAUGGGGUCAUAGAGAGCCGGACACUGCUGAGUGACUAACACACACACGUAUUUCAGCUGGAGAAGAAGCAAAGGCUGUCUGGGUGACCAAGAGUCUUCAUGAAAGCACCUUCUCCAUUCCUUCAUUCCAGAGAGCCUCCCCUGCACCCCGACUCCAUCUUCUUCCUCCCCGAGUUCAGCCUCCACACGACACACGCAGGGAGUUGACUGUUCUGCUUUUAUUCGAGCAUUCUAUACCCAACACACGGCUAACAAGGGCCUGCUCUGUGUUGGGAUUCAUGCCCGGGGCUUUGCACACGCUCUCCCCAUUUACCUGCAUAGCAGCCUGGGGCCCCCAGGGAGGACUUUUACACCCAUUUGACAGAUGAGAAGAGAGUGACGGUGACUCACAGCUGAACCAGAAUUCCAUCCAGGGAUAUUGACUGUAAAGACUCUGCUCUUGCAACUCAUAACCGUCUACUCAUUCAUUCAAAAAAAAGUUAUUUUUGACACGUGCCAGCUGUUGUGCAAGGCGCCGGAGGUAUAGAAAUAAACGAGAUGGACACGGCGCUUGUCUCUGUGUC
rnacentral:lncRNA from 1 species